rnacentral:miRNA from 1 species
UCGGCCAAACUGGGGCGCUGCC